rnacentral:rRNA from 1 species
GAUGAACGCUGGCGGCGUGCCUAAUACAUGCAAGUCGAGCGAAAGGACGCGAACCUUGCUUCUCUGAUGUUAACGGCGGACGUGAGAGUAACGUAUCCAGACCCUACCUAUAAGACAGCGCUAACUUCCGGAAACCGGAGCUAAUACCGUAUACUUUCUUGAUCCGCAUGGUUCAAAAGUUCAAGACGGUCUUGCUGUACUUUCUAGCUGGCUCCGUGCUGCAUUGGCUGUUUGGUACGGUAACGGCUUCCCAAGGCAACGAUGGAUAGCCGACCUGAGAGGGUGAAGGGCGACUCUGGGAGUGAGAGGCGGUCCAGAGUCCGACGGGAGGCAGCGGUAGGGAAUGUUGGGCGAUGGGCGGAAUCCUGACGGAGCAGCGCCACGUGGGUGAAGAAGGUCUUCGGAUCGGAAAACGCUGUUAGUAGGGAAGAACGUAUGUAGAAGGAACUGUGCACUUCGUGACGGUACCUAAUGAGGAAGCCACGGCUAACUACGUG